rnacentral:rRNA from 1 species
AAUAUUGGACAAUGGGGGCAACCCUGAUCCAGCCAUCCCGCGUGUAUGAUGAAGGCCNNNGGGUUNUCAAGAACUUUUGGCAGNGACNAAAAGGUAUCUCCUAAUACGAGCUAAUGCUGACGGUAUCUGCAGAAGAAUCACCGGCUAACUACGUGCCAGCAGCCGCGGUAAUACGUAGGGUGCAAGCGUUAAUCGGAAUUACUGGGCGUAAAGCGUGCGUAGGCGGUUCGGAAAGAAAGAUGUGAAAUCCCAGGGCUCAACCUUGGAACUGCAUUUUUAACUGCCGAGCUAGAGUAUGUCAGAGGGGGGUAGAAUUCCACGUGUAGCAGUGAAAUGCGUAGAUAUGUGGAGGAAUACCGAUGGCGAAGGCAGCCCCCUGGGAUAAUACUGACGCUCAGACACGAAAGCGUGGGGAGCAA